CCUACGGGAGGCAGCAGUGAGGAAUAUUGGUCAAUGGGCGUAAGCCUGAACCAGCCAAGUCGCGUGAGGGAUGAAGGUUCUAUGGAUCGUAAACCUCUUUUAUAAGGGAAUAAAGUGCGGGACGUGUCCCGUUUUGUAUGUACCUUAUGAAUAAGGAUCGGCUAACUCCGUGCCAGCAGCCGCGGUAAUACGGAGGAUCCGAGCGUUAUCCGGAUUUAUUGGGUUUAAAGGGUGCGUAGGCGGCCUUUUAAGUCAGCGGUGAAAGUCUGUGGAUCAACCAUAGAAUUGCCGUUGAAACUGGCAGACUUGAGUGUGUUUGAGGCAGGCGGAAUGCGUGGUGUAGCGGUGAAAUGCUUAGAUAUCACGCAGAACCCCGGUUGCGAAGGCGGCCUGCCAAGCCAUAACUGACGCUGAUGAACGAAAGCGUGGGGAUCAAACAGGAUUAGAUACCCUAGUAGUC
rnacentral:rRNA from 1 species